rnacentral:lncRNA from 1 species
UGUCAAUGAAGAAAAUGAAGCUCAGAAAGAAUACUAGACACUUUCAGAAGUUCACACAACUGGUCUCUAGAAGAGUUAGAAUUUAAAUGAGGGAAACAGCCAAACAUCAUCCUUAUGCAACUUUACUGACAAUGAGAAAGAACCAACUAUUUUGCUCAUGUUGUGGAAUUCUCACCAGGCUCAAGAUCUGAUCAGCUUUUAGAAGAAA